rnacentral:tRNA from 1 species
GCAGUGAUGGUUUAGUGGAAGAAUUGUCGCCUUCCAUGUGGGAGACCUGGGUUCGAUUCCUGGCCUAUGCU